AUUGAACGCUGGCGGCAUGCCUUACACAUGCAAGUCGAACGGUAACAGGUCUUCGGAUGCUGACGAGUGGCGAACGGGUGAGUAAUACAUCGGAACGUGCCCGAUCGUGGGGGAUAACGCAGCGAAAGCUGUGCUAAUACCGCAUACGAUCUACGGAUGAAAGCGGGGGAGUCGCAAGACCUCGCGCGGACGGAGCGGCCGAUGGCAGAUUAGGUAGUUGGUGGGAUAAAAGCUUACCAAGCCGACGAUCUGUAGCUGGUCUGAGAGGACGACCAGCCACACUGGGACUGAGACACGGCCCAGACUCCUACGGGAGGCAGCAGUGGGGAAUUUUGGACAAUGGGGGAAACCCUGAUCCAGCCAUGCCGCGUGAGUGAAGAAGG
rnacentral:rRNA from 1 species